UACUUGGUGAAUUAAAAACUCAGUCCAUGAUGUAAUGCACCAUUUACUUAUUUACAGUGAGAUCCAUAACAAAAGGUUUUCAGAGGUCAUGAAUAGCAAACACUGCUGUUAAUUAUUAUGGUCAGAAACUUGCUAUGUGAAACCCCAUCAGUGAACAGAGACAUUCCCACUUUUGCCUGGAGCAUCUGAGCCCCAGAGGUCACAAGUUCAGAGAAGCAGCUUCCCGUUCGGAGCAGGUGCAGAGCCCCGAGCAGGGGUUUUCAGAUUCAGCCUCCACACAUUUAACUUUAUCUCGUCAGAGGAACCUGGACUCUGAGUGCACUUCUCAGCUCAGAUGUGGGAAGAGUGUUGGCCUUUUUCAGCUGUUCCCUGCGCUCGAGCCUGGACACCGCGGUCUCCGGCUUCUUCUCCUCCGGCUGGG